UGUGAAAAGUUGAAGGUAGAAGCCGCCACGGUGCCAGGAAUCCGGGCAGAGCUAGAAGCUUUAAGGCGGAGACGCACUGCCGCGCUGGAGCUAAUGGGUGAACGCGAUGAAGAGCUGGAGUAACUCAGAGCCGACAUUGUAGACUUGAAGGAAAUGUACAGAGAACAAGUAAACUUGCUUGUGAAUAAGAUCCAAAUAAUGAGUUCUUCGUCGGGUAAUUCUUCAUAAGCAAUUAUCUUUUUUUGUUUUUGCUGUUCUGUGCGGAAAUUUCAAAGAAAGGAUGUGUGCAUGAUGUACUUGUAGUAAGUGUAGUU